AUACGGAGGAUCCGAGCGUUAUCCGGAUUUAUUGGGUUUAAAGGGUGCGCAGGCGGCCAUUUAAGUCAGCGGUUAAAUCGUGGGGCUCAACCCCAUUCUGCCGUUGAUACUGGGUGGCUUGAUUGCGGUCGAGGUUGGCGGAAUUCGUUGUGUAGCGGUGAAAUGCAUAGAUAUGACGAAGAACACCGAUUGCGUAGGCAGCUGACCAGACCGCAAAUGACGCUCAUGCACGAAAGUGCGGGGAUCGAACAGGAUUAGAUACCCUGGUAGUCCGCACAGUAAACGAUGAAUACUUGUUUUCGGCGAUAUAAUGUCGGAGGCAAAGCGAAAGCGUUAAGUAUUCCACCUGGGGAGUACGCCGGCAACGGUGAAACUCAAAUGAAUUGACGGGG
rnacentral:rRNA from 1 species